rnacentral:rRNA from 1 species
CGAUGGCGAAGGCAGCCCCUGGAUAUACUGACGCUCAGACACGAAGCGUGGGGAGCAAACAGGAUUAGAUACCUGGUAGUCACGCCCUAAACGAUGUCAACUAGCUGUUGGGGCCGUUAGCCUUUAGUAGCGCAGCUAACGCGUGAAGUUGACCGCUGGGGAGUACGGUCGCAAGAUUAAAACUCAAAGGAAUUGACGGGGACCCGCACAAGCGGUGGAUGAUGUGGAUUAAUUCGAUGCAACGCGAAAAACCUUACCUACCCUUGACAUGUCUGGAAUGCCGAAGAGAUUUGGCAGUGUCGCAAGAAACCGGAACACAGGUGCUGCAUGGCUGUCGUCAGCUCGUGUCGUGAGAUGUUGGGUUAAGUCCCGCAACGAGCGCAACCCUUGUCAUUAGUUGCUACGCAAGAGCACUCUAAUGAGACUGCCGGUGACAAACCGGAGGAAGGUGGGGAUGACGUCAAGUCCUCAUGGCCCUUAUGGGUAGGGCUUCACACGUCAUACAAUGGUCGGGACAGAGGGUCGCCAACCCGCGAGGGGGAGCUAAUCUCAGAAACCCGAUCGUAGUCCGGAUCGCAGUCUGCAACUCGACUGCGUGAAGUCGGAAUCGCUAGUAAUCGCGGAUCAGAAUGUCGCGGUGAAUACGUUCCCGGGUCUUGUACACACCGCCCGUCACACCAUGGGAGUGGGUUUCACCAGAAGUAGGUAGCCUAACCGUAAGGAGGGCGCUUACCACGGUGGGAUUCAUGACUGGGGUGAAGUCGUAACAAGGUAACCA